rnacentral:rRNA from 1 species
UGAGAUGUUGGGUUAAGUCCGUAACGAGCGCAACCCUUGUCCUUAGUUACCAGCACGUUAUGGUGGGCACUCUAAGGAGACUGCCGGUGACAAACCGGAGGAAGGUGGGGAUGACGUCAAGUCAUCAUGGCCCUUACGGCCUGGGCUACACACGUGCUACAAUGGUCGGUACAAAGGGUUGCCAAGCCGCGAGGUGGAGCUAAUCCCAUAAAACCGAUCGUAGUCCGGAUCGCAGUCUGCAACUCGACUGCGUGAAGUCGGAAUCGCUAGUAAUCGUGAAUCAGAAUGUCACGGUGAAUACGUUCCCGGGCCUU